GGGAGCGGGCCGGGAUCGGAACCCGGGAUCGGGAUCGGCCUCGCACCGCCCGUCCGGGACACAGAGCGCAGCCCGGACCCCCGGACGGCGCGAGGGGAGGCACUGACAGCCGCGGCUCGGAGCGCAGAUCUAGAACUGCUUGCACAACCUCCGUGCCUCCAGGAUGGAAAACUGAUCAAUGUAUUUCAGCCUGACCUUGUAAACAGCUGUAACUGACGACAAUCCCUUGGAAAGUGACAAGUAAAGUGGAAUUUUCAUGGAAAAUUGAUAUUCCUAUAGCUUCCCUCAGUGAAACAAGCCUUCCUCAAGCUGUGAUAAGUGCUUCUCAACAUUUCAGUCUGUUGGAAACUUCAUACCUUUAAUGGUAUGCACCAAUUAAUUUUUUUUUUUUUCUUGCGAUGCAUAGCAAUCCAGAACUUACCCCUAAGGUAACAAUAUACAGUCAAGAAUUUUAGCUUGCACUGAGCUCCAUUGGGAUAGAUUCCCUGGGAGGCUUCCAUGGAAGAUGAAGGAACUUUUGAGUGCCAUCAGUUUUUCAAGGACACUCUCCUGGAAGCACAAAACCAGUUCAUGCUCAUUAAGGGUAAGGAAAGUAGGCGGAACAAGAGACUCCCUUGGCUUAAAUGUGAGCUUUUGAGUCUGCUUAAAACCAAAAGAGAAGCGUACUAGAAAUGGAAAACCCAUGGAGAGCUACAAGGAUACUGCCAGGGUAAGCAGAUGCAGUUACAAAAGCAAAAACUCAGCUCAAAUUGAAAUUGGCCACAGAGGUCAAAAAAACACAAGAAAGGGUUCUUCGGGUACGUAAACAACAAACAGAAGGAAAUACUGGCCCAUGUCAAGCAUAACAGGUGAAUUGAUCACCCGUAAUGCUAAAAAGGCAGAGAUUCCCAACACAUUCACCUCUGUCCUCACUUUGGGACACAGGUCCUGGGGUCAAAAAUCCAGGUUUAUACAAGCACCGACACAGUGAAAGAAGAGCUUGUCUGUGAACUAUCACAGGAGCCUACAAAUUGGUGGGUCUGGAUGUUACACGUCCAAGGGUUUUAAGAGAGCUGGCUGAUGUUCCAAGGAUGAGCAUUCCAAGGGCGCUCUCCAUAAUCUUGAAGAAGUUGUGGACAUCAGGGGACGUCCCAGAAGACUGGGAGAAGGCUGAUGUCACCCCAUCUACAGGAAGGGCUUAAAGGAGGAUCCAGGAAAUUACAGACCCAUCAGUUUUACUCCAUUCCCUGGGAAAGUUGGGGAACAAAUUCUCCUGGGGGCUGUCACAAAUCAAAUGAAGCACAUGGUUGGGAAAAGCCAGCAGGGAUUCACCAAAGGCAAGUCAUGCUUGACAAACCUGAUCACCCUCUGACAACACAAUGACCUGCUCAGGUGAUGUGGGGUGAGCAAUGGACAUUGUCUCCAAGACUUUCGGUAUGUUUUCCCAGAGACUCCUCCUAAAGUAAUAGAUGUAUUAGGAUCUAGACAAGUGGUCCAUGCAGUGGAUGGGGAAGUGGCUACCCAGACACAGCCGGAGGAUGGUGAUAAAGAACUCCUUUUCAAACUGGCGGCCUGUGACAAGUGGGGUCCCCCGGGAUCAAUAUUGGGCCGAUGUCUGUUUAAUAGCCUCAUAAGUGAUCUGGAGGAUGGAAUCAAGUGUAUCCUGAAGUUUGCUGAAAAUACCAACCUGAGGGGGAAAGUGAACACUUUGGGAGAGAGAGCCACCCUGCAAGAAGACCUGGAUAGGUUGGAAGCUUGGGCUGCCAAGAACUUUAUGAAGUUCCACAAGGACUAGAAUUUGCACCUGGGAAAAUCCAAUCCAGGAAUGCAGCACAAGUGGGGAUCUGUCUGGCAGGGGACCAGCUCUGUGGCAAGGGACCUGAGGGUCCUGGAGCAAGCUCAUUAUGAGUGACCAGGGUGCUGCUGCAUCAAAGAAGGCCAAGGAAGGUUGGACCAGAGUCCUUUCAACCUGGCACUAUGUGAUACUGGGAUCAAACUAAGAUCUUAUAGCCUAACAGCAGGUAGUAAUUAGCCCUACAUAACUGGAUGUCAUUCACUGUGGAUUACUGGUCUGCUUUUUAUAGAACAUACCUGAAAUUAUUCAGCCUUAUUAGAAAUGUGGUUCAAUAAACACCUUAAAAUAAGCUGUAACAGAAUGAAAAAUUUCCAGCCAGAAAAAAUAUGCAUAGGAAGAGAAUUUCACACCCAAAAUGGCAAAGAAUUUCAAAUGUUUCUGUUGAAACACUAAAAAAGAUCAACACAAAAGUUUAAUGAUGUAGUCCCAAGCUUGCAGACACAGGAAGCAUGCUACCAUAAAAUCAGGGGAAAUAGAUUAGCAAUCUAGAGACCAGAUGGUUAGUAUUUACUUGCUGACAUAACACCACCAAAUGUUCCUAAAUUUCUUUUUUAAAUUUGUCUUUCACAUUACAUUAUCAGCAUAGGAACUGAUCUUGCAAACAUAUACAUAAAGAUUUCAAUAUAUUUAUUCAUUUGGGUAGUCCCAUUGACUUUAGAACAGGAGACUGUUCACAGAUCCAGGCUGUCAGCUUAGGCUAAGUCUACCCUAAGAGUUGUAAACUGUUUGCCUACACCAAAUUGGGCCUGGGAAAAAAAAAAAAUCCUGUGUAUGAUUUUGUUCUGGUUUUGUUCUUUGCAAGAGAGAGCAGUUUAUGGAGAAUAUGAUAAAAGACAUUCCCUGUCCAUAAAUAUAUCUCCUUGUCUGGUGGAUAACUGUUAAACUUGGCAAGGUCUGAAAUAAAAUGAAAUCUUAAAAUUCUUCUCCAAUUUGAAGUCAAAGAGUAAAAAUAAAAAAAUUACAAACAUUUUUACACAGCAAAUUGUUAAUAUCAGCAUGAGAAAAUUUUUCUUAAUUAUAACAGGAUCCACUUACAAAUUAUUUAACCUCUCUCCUCUGUGAAAAAUAUCCUUGAUUCCAAGUGUCUGUUCAGAGCCCUAUUUUUCCCUGGUGGGAAAAAUUGUCACUCCUUGCUCAACACUGUUUUGUGGCUUGUUUAAGUUAUCUGUAGGGUCUCUCUAUUAAAAUUAUACAGAAUUUCACUAGCAUUAGCUUUUCAUACUCAAAGUUUUCUCCUUCAAUUUUAUGUUUUUUCUUUCAUUUUCACUUUCUAAAAUGUGUCCCCUCAUCCCUGUCAUUAUUGGGUUUUUGUGGAGGCAUUUAUUUACACUGCCCCUUUGUCCAUCCUAGUUUUUCCCAUCUUUCAUCAAAAUCUGCUUCUCAAUUGCUUGCAUGUUUCUCGAUGUCUCGUUUUCUCAUCUGCUUCCUCAGGUUCCUUUUCCUUUAUUGUCACAUCACUUACAAAGUCACCUGCCUCCAGGCAGUGUA